GAGUUUGAUCGUGGCUCAGAUUGAACGCUGGCGGCAUGCCUUACACAUGCAAGUCGAGCGGCAGCGCGGGGCAACCCUGGCGGCGAGCGGCGAACGGGUGAGUAAUACAUCGGAACGUGUCCAGUAGUUGGGGGAUAACCGAGUCGAAAGAUUAGGCUAAUACCGCAUACGAUCUACGGAUGAAAGCGGGGGACCGCAAGGCCUCGCGACUAUUGGACGCGGCCGAUGUCGGAUUAGCUAGUUGGCGGGUAAAAGCCCACCAAGGCGACGAUCCGUAGCUGGUCUGAGAGGACGAUCAGCCACACUGGAACUGAGACACGGUCCAGACUCCUACGGGAGGCAGCAGGUGGGGAAUUUUUGGACAAUGGGGGCGAAACCCUGAUCCAGCCAUGCCGCGUGAGUGAAGAAGGCCU
rnacentral:rRNA from 1 species